rnacentral:rRNA from 1 species
GGGAGGCGAGUAGAGUGGCGCACGGGUGAGUAACACGUAGGUAAUCUACCUUUGGAUGGGGAAUAACAACCGGAAACGGUUGCUAAUACCGCAUAAUGCAGCGGCACCUAAUGGUGACAGUUGUUAAAGCGGGGGAUCGAAAGACCUCGCGUCUGAAGAGGAGCCUGCGGCGGAUUAGCUAGUUGGUAAGGUAAUGGCUUACCAAGGCGAUGAUCCGUAACCGGCCUGAGAGGGCGGUCGGUCACACUGACACUGACAUACGGGUCAGACUCCUACGGGAGGCAGCAGUCGGGAAUUUUGGGCAAUGGGCGAAAGCCUGACCCAGCAACGCCGCGUGAAGGAUGAAAUCCCUCGGGAUGUAAACUUCGCAAGAACAGGAAGAAUAAGUAAGGGUUAAUAUCUCUUACGAUGACGGUACUGUUUGUAAGCUCCGGCUAACUCCGUGCCAGCAGCCGCGGUAAUACGGGGGGAGCAAGCGUUGUUCGGAUUUACUGGGCGUAAAGGGCGCGUAGGCGGCCACCGCAAGUCGGUUGUGAAAUCUCUGGGCUUAACCCAGAAAGGUCAACCGAUACUGCGGGGCUAGAGUGCAGAAGGGGCAACUGGAAUUCUCGGUGUAGCGGUGAAAUGCGUAGAUAUCGAGAGGAAACCUGCGGCG